GAAGGCUCUAGCUUUCCUCAGAGGGUGGCCUCCGACGUAGUGGGGUUAUCUCCUUGUAUCCCAAGCAUAAAUGGGAGCGGGACGCUGCUUGCGGUUAGCGUACAGCUGUUAUCCCUUGUCGCCGAAUCUUCUAUGUGUGUCUCAAAGCGCCGUGCUUGACGUGAUCGCAAUGUCUUCGCACUACCACGUUAGGGCCUUUA
rnacentral:lncRNA from 1 species